UUCACUCCAGAUCUACCAUUAACCCUGGAAAUUCAAACUCCCGUUCCCCCAAAAGAAUCUCAAAGCAAGAAAGAUGCAGGCUAUUUCCUGAGGCGGCAGAAGAACCCAAUGUACUCUGGUGGCCAAGGAAACAGGGUGAAUGUUUAUAGCUACUUGGGGGAGCCAGGUGAGGUUCUGUGUCCUACUUCACCCAGCUCAUAAAAAGAAGUGCUGAAUCAGCAGAUAAAGUGAGGGAGCAACCCUGGUAUGGCUGCGGCAUGACUCUUGAGGUCAUUAUCUCUCUCCCCCCUGCAAAUGAUGUAGGACUCUAAGCUCGCAGGAUCUAAAAGCAAAUUAUGAAGAAAAAGGAAAAGGGCCUGUGACCGAGACAACAGCAAUCAGCACUAGCAUUUCUGAAUGCAC